rnacentral:tRNA from 1 species
GGGAGCAUAGCUCAGCUGGGAGAGCAUCUGCCUUACAAGCAGAGGGUCACAGGUUCGAGCCCUGUUGUUCCC